AUGAACGCUGGCCGCGUGCCUCAUCCAUGCAAGUCGAGCGAACGGACGAGAAGCUUGCUUCUCUGAUGUUAGCGGCGGACGGGUGAGUAACACGUGGAUAACCUACCUAUAAGACUGGGAUAACUUCGGGAAACCGUAGCUAAUACCGGAUAAUAUUUUGAACCGCAUGGUUCAAAAGUGAAAGACGGUCUUGCUGUCACUUAUAGAUGGAUCCGCGCUGCAUUAGCUAGUUGGUAAGGUAACGGCUUACCAAGGCAACGAUGCAUAGCCGACCUGAGAGGGUGAUCGGCCACACUGGAACUGGGACACGGUCCAGACUCCUACGGGAGGCAGCAGUAGGGAAUCUUCCGCAAUGGGCGAAAGCCUGACGGAGCAACGCCGCGUGAGUGAUGAAGGUCUUCGGAUCGUAAAACUCUGUUAUUAGGGAAGAACAUAUGUGUAAGUAACUGUGCACAUCUUGACGGUACCUAAUCAGAAAGCCACGGCUAACUACGUG
rnacentral:rRNA from 1 species